rnacentral:rRNA from 1 species
CCUACGGGUGGCAGCAGUGAGGAAUAUUGGUCAAUGGGUGGAAGCCUGAACCAGCCAAGUCGCGUGAGGGAUUAAGGCCCUGCGGGUCGUAAACCUCUUUUGCCGGGGAGCAGAGGUCCGGACGUGUCCGGGCCGGGAGAGUACCCGGAGAAAAAGCAGCGGCGAACGCCGUGCCAGCAGCCGCGGUAAUACGGAGGAUGCGAGCUUUAUCAGGAUUGAUUGGGUUUAAAGGGUGCGUAGGCGGGCAUUUAAGCCGGCGGUCAAAUGUCGGGGCUCAACCCCGGCCUGCCGUCGGAACUGGGUGCCUUGCGUGGGCGAGAAGUAUGCGGCAUGCGUGGUGUAGCGGUGACAUGCAUCGCUCUCACGCAGAACCCCGAUUGCGACGGCAGCAUACCGGCGCCCGACUGACGCUGCGGCAC